rnacentral:tRNA from 1 species
GGAGAUGUGGCCGAGUGGCUUAAGGCGGCGGUUUGCUAAACCGUUAGGGGUCAAAAGCCCCUCGCAGGUUCGAAUCCUGCCAUCUCCGCCA